AGGGCUACACACGUGCUACAAUGGGUGGUACAAAGAGAUGCAAUCUCGCAAGAGCAAGCCAAACCUCAAAAAGCCAUCCUCAGUUCGGAUUGGAGUCCGCAACUCGACUCCAUGAAGUCGGAAUCGCUAGUAAUCGCGGAUCAGCACGCCGCGGUGAAUACGUUCCCGGGCCUU
rnacentral:rRNA from 1 species